rnacentral:lncRNA from 1 species
CAUUUUCCUCCAAAGACCAAUGUUGCCUCGCAAGAAGAAGGAAUCCAAGAAAGUCAUCUUUAAAGCACGGAACAAGUCCAACAAGAACUCAGUCAAAGACGCACCAAAGAACAAGAAGAAGAAAGACUCCACACCCACUGUAGAGAAAGAGAUAAGUGAUCAAAAGCCCUGUGAUGGAGCCGAGAAGAGUGCCGACACAAGUGUGAAUGAACGACGGGAGGAAAACCAGAAUAAUGAGACUGAUGCUGAAGUGCAGAGUGAACAGAAAGAGGACAGAGAGGAAGGGAACGAGACAGAGGAAGGGACGGUAGGAGCAGGCAGGGAAAAACAAGAGGCGGUGGGCGGAAAUAGCAAGACAGACGGAAAUGCUAAAGAUGAGGUUGACGUUAAAGAGGAAGAGUGUGGCGUGAAAACAGAAGCUGAAAUGGGGUCGUGUCAAGACAAGGCCUCACCUACAGCACAAGAAACAGGACGACAGGACAAGGAGGUGGACAAACAGGAAGACAGGUCAGCCAAUCAGGAUUGAGGACGCGCUCACACCCACCGAGCCAAUGGAAGUGGACCUCUGAAUGUUCUAAAUGCUACCCUGCAAAAAAAAAAUCACUUAGCUAAUCGAUAUUUUGUCUUGUUUUCCAGUAUCUAAACAUCCUUAAAACAAGUUCAAUAUACAAAACAAGAAAGCAAGAGUUGUUUUAUUGAUCUUUAGAUACUCAAGCCAAAACUACUGGCUGAUGUCGCGUAGCUUAUGGUUUAAGACAGGUACACUGUCGCGCAAACACCUCACCUGACAUUUCCACCUCUUGUAACCAAUGCUGAACAUUUAACUCACCGCUGGUGAGCGGGCGAUAACAUCCCUUCCCCAUCAAUGAGCCGAAAGGACUCCGGUAUCCAGGAAGAGGGAGGAGAGAUGGGAAGAGAUUGUUAUCGGUAAAUGCACUGGAUGGGAAAACCACAUUAAUAUUUACUCAAUGAGCCCAGAGGGCCGAGACAGACUCAAAGACGGCAUCUCAGACGCGCUCCGAGGAGAAGGU